rnacentral:rRNA from 1 species
CCUACGGGGGGCAGCAGUGAGGAAUAUUGGUCAAUGGGCGCGAGCCUGAACCAGCCAAGUAGCGUGAAGGAUGACUGCCCUACGGGUUGUAAACUUCUUUUAUAAAGGAAUAAAGUGAGGCACGUGUGCCUUUUUGUAUGUACUUUAUGAAUAAGGAUCGGCUAACUCCGUGCCAGCAGCCGUCGUAAUACGGAGGAUACGAGCGUUUUCCGGAGUUUUUGGGUUUAAGGGGAGCUUAGAUGGGUUGUUAAUUCAGUUGUGAAAGUUGGCGGCUAAACCGGAAAAUGGCAAUUGAUACUGGCAGUCUUGAGUACAGUUGAGGUAGGCGGAAUUCGUGGUGUAGCGGUGAAAUGCUUAGAUAUCGCGAAGAACCCCGAUGGCGAAGGCAGCUUACUAAACUGCCACUGACAUUGAUGCUCGAAAGUGUGGGUAUCAAACAGGAUUAGAUACCCGAGUAGUC